GUAGGGUGCAAGCGUUAUCCGGAAUCAUUGGGCGUAAAGAGCUCGUAGGCGGUUCAGCAAGUCGGCUGUGAAAUCCCGAGGCUAAACCUCGGAACUGCAGUCGAUACUGCUGUGACUAGAGUCCGGUAGAGGAGAAUGGAAUUCCCGGUGUAGCGGUGAAAUGCGCAGAUAUCGGGAGGAACACCAGUAGCGAAGGCGGUUCUCUGGGCCGGUACUGACGCUGAGGAGCGAAAGCGUGGGGGUAGCAAACAGGAUUAGAUACCCUGGUAGUCCACGCCGUAAACGUUGGACACUAGGUGUGGCGUUCCGACCAACGGGUGCCGUGCCGAAGCUAACGCAUUAAGUGUCCCCGCCUGGGAGUACGGCCGCAAGGCUA
rnacentral:rRNA from 1 species